rnacentral:rRNA from 1 species
CCUACGGGCGGCAGCAGUGAGGAAUAUUGGUCAAUGGUCGGGAGACUGAACCAGCCAAGCCGCGUGAGGGAUGAAGGUACAGAGUAUCGUAAACCUCUUUUGUCAGGGAACAAAGGCGGGGACGUGUCCCCGGAUGAGUGUACCUGAAGAAAAAGCAUCGGCUAACUCCGUGCCAGCAGCCGCGGUAAUACGGAGGAUGCGAGCGUUAUCCGGAUUUAUGGGGGUUAAGGGGUGCGAAGGCGGUCUGUUAGGUCAGCGGUCAAAGCCCGGGGCUCAACCCCGGCCCGCCGUUGAAACUGGCAGUCUCGAGUUGGAGAGAAGUAUGCGGAAUGCGCGGUGUAGCGGUGAAAUGCAUAGAUAUCGCGCAGAACUCCGAUUGCGAAGGCAGCAUGCCGGCUCCACACUGACGCUGAGGCACGAAAGCGUGGGUAUCGAACAGGAUUAGAUACCCCGGUAGUC